rnacentral:rRNA from 1 species
AUACGGAGGGUGCAAGCGUUGUUCGGAAUUAUUGGGCGUAAAGCGCGUGUAGGCGGUUAGUUAAGUCUGAUGUGAAAGCCCCGGGCUCAACCUGGGAAGUGCAUUGGAAACUGGCAAACUUGAGUACGGGAGAGGGAAGUGGAAUUUCGAGUGUAGGGGUGAAAUCCGUAGAUAUUCGAAGGAACACCAGUGGCGAAGGCGGCUUCCUGGACCGAUACUGACGCUGAGACGCGAAAGCGUGGGGAGCAAACAGGAUUAGAUACCCUGGUAGUCC